CAGAAGUUCCAAGACUGAAAAAAAACAGUUUCAUACAAUCUAUACACAUACAUUAUUUCUCAUAAGCUUUUGCUACGUGGCAGCACCAUAGUCUCUCAUUCUCAAAAUUUCUACUCUUCAAUUAUUGUGACCGCUCGCCUUCCUCGUAACGUUUGUCUCUUCGGCUAUCCGUUUCAUUAAUUCAUUCUUUGUAACGUUUGCCUCUUCGGUUUUUCGUCUCAUUAAUUUCUUUCCCGUAACGUAUAUCUCUUCGGCUUUCCAUCUUAUUAAUUUCUUUUCUAUAAUGUCGAUGCUUCGACUUCCCGCCUCAUUAAUUUUUAUUUUCUAAGAGGCGUUGUCUGAAAAGCCCGUGGGCACGACAUACGACGUCCUCGAUAACGACCUCGCCUACUACGUUCGCUCCAACCUCAAGCUUCGUAGGCGUGCCAUCCUCGCACUUAUCGUCAACGCCUGGUGAGUCGAACUCUAACCCUUGCCCCCAACCCUCAUUCCUCGAUCUCAACCACUUAAAAUUGUAAUAUACAGUUAUGUAAAGGGUGUGUAUCCCUCUUCUCUAAUGGUCUCGGAGGACGAGGAGUAUCGAGUAUCGACUAAGAUAUUGACAUGCCGAAAAGGGAUUGAAAGCACUGCGAUAUUUCACGAAAUCGUUGGUGUUAAUAAAUAAUGCUAUAAAUGAGGGCACAAAAGAAUCCGAUUUUUAUGUAACAAAUUUUUUCUUCUAUAAUUAUUUGAUCUUUCGUUGUUUUUUCAUUAAAUUAUAAUUAUAUUCUAAAAAUUUUAAAAUAUUUUUUAUAUUUAUUAAAUUUAAUCAAAUAUAAUAACAUUCGUCGUAUCGCGCGGAUUUCUGUACUAAUAUGCGCAUGAAAAGACUACAGAUAUGU
rnacentral:lncRNA from 1 species